rnacentral:rRNA from 1 species
AACGAACGCUGGCGGCAUGCCUAACACAUGCAAGUCGAACGAGACCUUCGGGUCUAGUGGCGCACGGGUGCGUAACGCGUGGGAACCUGCCCUUAGGUUCGGAAUAACUCCCCGAAAGGGGUGCUAAUACCGGAUAAUGUCUUCGGACCAAAGAUUUAUCGCCUUUGGAUGGGCCCGCGUUGGUUUAGCUAGUUGGUAGGGUAAAAGCCUACCAAGGCGACGAUCCAUAGCUGGUCUGAGAGGAUGAUCAGCCACACUGGGACUGAGACACGGCCCAGACUCCUACGGGAGGCAGCAGUGGGGAAUAUUGGACAAUGGGCGAAAGCCUGAUCCAGCAAUGCCGCGUGAGUGAUGAAGGCCUUAGGGUUGUAAAGCUCUUUUACCCGGGAUGAUAAUGACAGUACCGGGAGAAUAAGCUCCGACUAACUCCGUG